ACCUCGGAUCAGGUAGGAAUACCCGCUGAACUUAAGCAUAUCAAUAAGCGGAGGAAAAGAAACCAACAGGGAUUGCCCUAGUAACGGCGAGUGAAGCGGCAACAGCUCAAAUUUGAAAUCUGGCCCUCGGGUCCGAAUUGUAAUUUGUAGAGGAUGCUUUUGGUGAGGUACCUUCCGAGUUCCCUGGAACGGGACGCCAUAGAGGGUGAGAGCCCCGUCUGGUUGGAUACCGAUCCUCUGUAAAGCUCCUUCGACGAGUCGAGUAGUUUGGGAANUGCUGCUCUAAAUGGGAGGUAUAUGUCUUCUAAAGCUAAAUAUUGGNCCAGAGACCGAUAGCGCACAAGUAGAGUGAUCGAAAGAUGAAAAGCACUUUGAAAAGAGAGUUAAAAAGUACGUGAAAUUGUUGAAAGGGAAGCGCUCAUGACCAGACUUGGGCUUGGUUGAUCAUCCAGGGUUCUCCCUGGUGCACUCUUCCAGCCCAGGCCAGCAUCAGUUCGCUGUGGGGGAUAAAGGCUUUGGGAAUGUGGCUCCUCCGGGAGUGUUAUAGCCCAUUGUGUAAUACCCUGUGGUGGACUGA
rnacentral:rRNA from 1 species